ACAGAUUAAGUUUUGUCUGAAUGUGACAUGAUUUGUAAAAGUUGAAAAAAUGGCAGAAGGGCUGUGGUGUUGACACGUUGCAAACAUACCUCCAACAAUGAGCUCCAAUGUUAUAAGUAUAGAUUUCAAAAUAUUAUAAUUAUAUAUUUCAAAAACAGCGCUGAGAAGCAAAGCCAAAAGCAAAUAAGAGAGUAUUUGUAUCCAAAAAAUGGUGAACCACGUCUCAAACUAUUCUCCUUUAUUCAUCAUCUUGGUUUUGCUUGUCAAAGGUAAGUCUCUUGUUUUACAUUGUGAUGCUAUUUAAACUACAAAUAAAAUGAAACUCAAUAAUAUAUUUUGCUUCAUUUUUUUCUGUGUUUUAUAUUUUGGAGCAUAGGUCAAAUAGAAGUGCAAGGAGAUUUAUGUGUAAAAGCUUUGAAUUAUUGUGAAACCCAAGAUGAUUGUAAACUAAAGUGUAUAGCCCCGCGCAAGGAUGGGUUUGCGUAUUGCGAUAACACACACACGUGUUCCUGUUUUUUCUAUUGUAAGCGAGACUCAAGUCGAACUACGUGUUCCUGUUCAUGAAUAUGCGCCUACUACAAUUCAAAUUUGCAAGCCAAUUUAAUUAGUUUCCUCUUUGGUUCAAGUAUCAACUUAUAUACUUGCAAUUCAAUAAUUUGACUGUUGAAUUUUAUGGCAUAUUCUAUAUCUAAUUUCUCCCUCAUAGAUUGCGUAUCGAUACACUUGUGGGGUAAAUGUUUCAUUAAAUAAAAAAUAAAUAUAAGAAUAUAUAAAUACACACAAAUCCUUGUUUCGAAGUUUGAAAUAUUACAGUAAUUACCUAUUGUAUUAAUUACCAUAUAUAUAUAUAAUGGUUUUUAGAAUUAAAUUCAUGCAUGUAAUAUUCUAAUUUUGGCUCUGUGUGUAUCAGAUAUAUAUAUAUACCUCAAUGAUAAGUAUUAUGUGUUAUGUGAAUCUAUGAUGAUUGUUUAAAAAUAUUGAAGAAAAAUAAAUAAUGGAGUAAAUUACACUUCUUUCUCUUAAGAGAUGUUAAAAUUAUAUCGUAUUUUUUAUGUUUUUUUUUUUUUGGAAAAGAUGAAUUAAGAAUUAAAAUAAGAUAAGACAUUCUAACUAGAUCGACACAAUUUACUUCUUAUGUUUAAAUAUACAGUUUAGUUCAUUUAAUUUAUCACUCUUAAAGUCAAUUACUUUCUCCUCUCUUAAGAGAUACGCAUAUUUUAGUGUCCUUCCCUCUUAUGUUAAAAUAUAGAAUAAAUUACAUAUCACUUCCUUAGUGAUUUUCGUAUUACAUUCUCCUUUCCUCUUACGUUAAAAUACACUCUAUUUAACUUAAAAUCUCUAAACAAUAUUUAUUAUAAGAUUUAAAAAAAUAAUGAUAAAUAUUUUUAAUUUACUAAAUUAUCAUUUACUCACUCAAUACAUGUUCUUAAAAAAUAUAUAAUUAAGUUUAAAAUAAUUUAUUAUAUUGAUAAUUGAUAAUUAAAAAUAAAAUUUAUAAGAUAUAUUAUACACGUAUAUAUAUAUAUAUGUCAAUUUGUAUGUAUUAUAAAAAAUUUUAAUAAUUAUAUUUUAUUUCACAAUAGAUUUUUAAUAUAAAUAAUAUUAUUUUUACAGUUACAUUUAAUAUAUACAUAUGCAUUAUAUUAAUACAUAUAAUGUAUAGUACUACGUACUAUUAAAAUUAAUCAUAUGUUUAUAAUUAAUGUUAUGUAUGAAACAUAUAAUUUUUAUUUAAAUAUUUAUAAAAAUAUUCCAUUAACAAAAUCAAUUAAAUACUAACUUAAUACUUGUGUUUAAUUUUAUUAUUUUAAAAUAUGUUUUGUGAAAAUAAUAAUUAAAGAUGAAAUUAGUAGAUGAAUAAUAAUAAUAAUAAUAAUAAUAAUAAUAAUAAUAAUAAUAAUAAUAAUAAUAAUAAUAUAUACAAUUGAAUAAAACAUUUAAAAAAAAAUUUAAAUAAUAAUAAUAAAUUCAAAUGAGAUUUAGACACAACCAAUAUCAUAUUGUUACAAAAAAAUAUUUUGUAACAUCCUAUUACAUUAGUUACUUGUGGCUUUGAUGGAACCCUAAUUUGUAUAUUUAAUUUUUGGUAUCAUCAAACUAGAAAACCUAGCUGGGACUCUUUGAAUUGGGGAAAAUAAAAAAAAAGCAUAAUUAGAAAAUGAGAUAGAAAGAACAACGUCACAAUCUUGAAAGAUUGAUAAGUUGAGGAUAAUUCGUUAUAAAGAAUAGAACUCUUAGAUACAAGAACCAAUAGAGAUACUCUCUUUGAUACAUUUUAUUCUUCUCUUUGGAUAACUGCAUACCUUGUGAAAGACAAGUGAUGAGUGCAUUUUACUUCAUUCUCUUAUCAUGCAAUCAGUAACUUUUGUUGCAUACACCUUUGUACAUAGUCAUUGCAUGUUAUUGUCACUUGAGGACAAGUGAGAUGUUCUCUUUUUGCUUGAGGACAAACAAAACUGUAAAUUUGGGGGAGUUGUUAGUCGAUGAAUACGACUAACUUUUGAGUAUAAAACCUGUGUAAAGUGUAUCAAACUUCCCCAAUUUAUGGUUAUUUUGUAAUGUUAUAAGUAUUUUUUGUUAAGUAUAGGUAAUAAAUACUUAGUACUUCCAUUUUGUGUGUUUAAUAAUCAUUUUCUCUCAAUUUCAGGUUAAUUAGGCAAGCUUUGAAAAGUGCUAUUUUCCACCUUCUCGCUAAGCCAAUCUGCAGGCUUAGUAAGCAUCCGCUAAGCGCAUCACUCAUGGGCUAAGCGUGAGGAAGACUCUGGAAGAAGAUGAGUUGUACAGGUUCACUAAGCGCACCGCUUCAGUUCAUCCGCUAAGCGAGAAAGGCAUGUGCUAAGCCAAAAUUCACUAAUAUACGCUAAGUGGUCCAUAAUUGCGCUAAGCGCACGAGCACGAACAAGGCCACCUAUUUAAGCCUGAAAUCAGAUUUUAGAGCGGGAGUUUGGACUGGGAUUCGGAGCUUUACAUGUCUAGAGAUUCUAGAGAGAGAAAGGUCCAAGUUCUAGAGAGUUUUGAG
rnacentral:lncRNA from 1 species